rnacentral:rRNA from 1 species
GAUCCUGGCUCAGGAUGAACGCUAGCGACAGGCUUAACACAUGCAAGUCGAGGGGCAGCACGGGAGUAGCAAUACAACUGGUGGCGACCGGCGCACGGGUGAGUAACGCGUAUGCAACCUACCUAUCAGGAGGGGAAUAACCCGGCGAAAGUCGGACUAAUACCGCAUAAACAGGGGCACCGCAUGGUGAUAUUUGUUAAAGAAAUUCGCUGAUAGAUGGGCAUGCGUUCCAUUAGGUAGUUGGUGAGGUAACGGCUCACCAAGCCGACGAUGGAUAGGGGAACUGAGAGGUUGGUCCCCCACACUGGUACUGAGACACGGACCAGACUCCUACGGGAGGCAGCAGUGAGGAAUAUUGGUCAAUGGGCGAGAGCCUGAACCAGCCAAGUCCGGCGUGAAGGAAGAAGGGUCUAUGGUUCGUAAACUUCUUUUGCAGGGGAAUAAAGUGCGGGACGUGUCCUGUUUUGUAUGUACCCUGAGAAUAAGGAUCGGCUAACUCCGUGCCAGCCGCCGC